rnacentral:rRNA from 1 species
CCACAAGGCGUACUAAAAGGGAGACGUCUGAUCCCCACGAGGGUGCAACACAGCCCGGUCCUGAUUUUAUCGAGAAAGGGGUCUGAGGUAAAGUGCGCUUGUUGGGACCCGAAAGAUGGUGAACUAUGCCUGGAUAGGACGAAGCCGGGGGAAACUUCGGUGGAGGUCCGUUGCGGUGUUGACGUGCAAAUCGCUCGUCAAAGCUGGGUAUAGGGGCGAAAGACCCAUCGAACCAUCUAGUAGCUGGUUCACUCCGAAGUUUCCCUCAGGAUAGCUGGAACCAAUAUAGGAGUUGCGCCAGGUAAAGCGAAUGAUUGGAGACAUUGGGGAAAUCGUUUCCUCGACCUAUUCUCAAACUUUAAAUGGGCGCGAACCCGGAGUUACUUUAUUGAACUCUGGAGCAGAAUCCUGGUUCUAAGUGGGCCACUUCUGGUAAGCAGGACUGGCGACGCGGGAUGAACCGAGAGCUGACUUAAGGUAUCCGAGUGUUCGCUCAUCAGAUCCCACAGAGGGUGUCGGUUCAUCUAGACAGCAGGACGGUGGCCAUGGAAGUCGGCAUCCGAUAAUGAGUGUGUAACAACUCACCUGCCGAAUGAACCGGUCCCGAAAAUGGAUGAUGCUCAAGCGAUCCACCCAUAGUCGGCCGUGCUCCGGUAUUGAAAAGCCGUGGCAUGAGUAGGAGUGCGUGAUGCGCGCCGCGAAGGUGUUGGCGUGAGCCUCACUGAAGCGCGCAUUAGUGCAGAUCUUGGUUGUAGUAGCGAAUAUUCAAUGGAGAACAUUGAAGGCCGAAGUGGAGAAGGUUUCCGUGUCAACAGCAGUUGGACACGGGUCAGUCGGUCCUAAGGCAAGGUGUAAUUGCUCGCCUCAAAGCUGAUAGUGACCACUUCGGUGGUUUCUACAGGUUUGCCGAAAGGGAAUGCGUGAACAUUCCGCAACCUGGCUGCAGGGAAAUGAAGCGGCAACGCAGUGACGAUCCUGGAGACCGUGUCGACAGGCCCCGGAUGACGCCGUCGUCUCUUUUUGAAGGAUUGGUUGACCCUUGAAAAGCUUCACGCUGGGACAGGGUUCACUAUCCUGGAAAGCUGCACUCCUUUCGUGCAGUAGGGUGUCUUGUCGAUGCGCCUGGAAAAUCCAGGGGAGAUCUCUUUCUCUUGCACCGGUCCGUACCGUUAACCGCAAUCGGUCUCCUAGGCUAAAAGCCUCUGGCCGACAGAACAAUGUAGGUAAGGGAAGUCGGCAAAAUAGAUCCGUAACUUCGGGAAAAGGAUUGGCUCCAAGGCUGCAUGCAGGCGUCGGUGUGGAUAGGGUAAGGGGUUCAGGUGAUGAGCGGCUGCGUGAGGCGCUCUCGGGUGCCACGCGCGGCUCUCUGAACCUUCCCUUCCCUUCCGCAUGCUGUGCCUACAAUGAAGCAGCGACUUGGAACUGUUACGAACAAGGGGAAUCUAACUGGUUAAUUAAACCAUAGCAUUUCGCUUCAUCACAGCGGUGGCGAGUGGAAUGUGACUUCUGCCCAGUGCCCUGAAUGUCAACGCUGAGAGAUCAGGUCAAGCGCGGGUAAACGGCGGGAGUAACUAUGACUCUCUUAAGGUAGCCAAAUGCCUCGUCUUCUAAUUAAAGACGCGCAUGAAUGGACCAAUGAGAUUCCUUCUGUCCCUACCUACUAUCUGGCGAAACAGCAGUCAAGGGAACGGACUUGAAACUGUCAGCGGGGAAAGA